rnacentral:rRNA from 1 species
GACGAACGCUGGCGGCGUGCUUAAUACAUGCAAGUCGAACGAUCCCGGGGCUUCGGCCCCAAUGGGAGAGUGGCGAACGGGUGAGUAUCACGUGAGAAACCUGCCCCGGAGAUCGGGAUAACCCAGAGAAAUUUGGGCUAAUACCGAAUACCCUGCGAGUGUCGCAUGGCACACGUAGGAAAGGUUCCGGCGCUCCGGGAGGGUCUCGCGGCCUAUCAGCUUGUUGGUGAGGUAACGGCUCACCAAGGCAUCGACGGGUAGCUGGUCUGAGAGGACGAUCAGCCACACUGGGACUGAGACACGGCCCAGACUCCUACGGGAGGCAGCAGUAGGGAAUCUUGCGCAAUGGGCGAAAGCCUGACGCAGCAACGCCGCGUGGGGGAAGAAGGCUCUCGGGUCGUAAACCCCUUUCAGCAGGGACGAAAAUGACGGUACCUGCAGAAGAAGGGCCGGCCAACUACGUG